ACUGCCCUAUGGGUUGUAAACUGCUUUUAUACCGGAAGAAUAAGCCUUACGUGUAAGGUGAUGACGGUACUGUAAGAAUAAGGACCGGCUAACUCCGUGCCAGCAGCCCCGGUAAUACAGAGGGUCCGAGCGUUAUCCCCACUUAUUGGCUUUAAAGGGUCCGUACGCGGAUGAUUAAUCAGGGGUGAAAGUUUGCAGCUCAACUGUAAAAUUGCCUUUGAUACUGGUCAUCUUGAGUUGUAUUGAAGUAGGCGGAAUAUGUAGUGUAGCGGUGAAAUGCAUAGAUA
rnacentral:rRNA from 1 species